CAAGUUAAUCUUCCCAGGGUGAGUCGGGGCCUAAGGCGAGGCCGACAGGCGUAGUCGAUGGAUAACGGGUUGAUAUUCCCGUACCCGAGUAUGAGCGACCAUGGUGAAUCAGUGAUACUAACCACCCAUAAGCACCCGCGAAAAGGCUUUGCUUUUUUGUGGUGUGUGGUUGCGUGGGACCUGAUCUGGUAGUAGCUAAGUGAUGGGGUGACGCAGGGAGGUAGCUCAGCCACUUAUUGGAUUGUGGUGUAAGCGUGUGGCACGCAGUGUUGGUAAAUCCGCACUGUUUUUGUGUGAGGCGUGAUGCGGAGCCCGUAAAGGGUGAAGUGGGUGAUCCUGUGCUGUCGAGAAAAGCCUCUAGCGAUGUUGAUAUUCGGCCCGUACCCUAAACCGACACAGGUAGUCAGGUAGAGAAUACUAAGGCGUUCGGGUGAACUGUGGUUAAGGAACUCGGCAAAAUGCCCCCGUAACUUCGGGAGAAGGGGGGCCACGGCGUGUGAACAACUUUUCGUUGGGAGCGUGUUGUGGUCGCAGAGAAUAGAGGGAAGCGACUGUUUACUAAAAACACAGGUCCGUGCGAAGACGUUUAAGUUGAUGUAUACGGACUGACGCCUGCCCGGUGCUGGAAGGUUAAGAGGACCGGUUAGCCGUAAGGCGAAGCUGAGAAUUUAAGCCCCAGUAAACGGCGGUGGUAACUAUAACCAUCCUAAGGUAGCGAAAUUCCUUGUCGGGUAAGUUCCGACCUGCACGAAUGGCGUAACGACUUCCCUGCUGUCUCAACCACAGGCCCGGUGAAAUUGCAGUACGAGUAAAGAUGCUCGUUACGCGCGGCAGGACGAAAAGACCCCGGGACCUUCACUAUAGCUUGGUAUUGGUGUUUGAUUCGGUUUGUGUAGGAUAGGUGGGAGACUUCGAUCAUAUGACGCUAGUUGUGUGUGAGUCGUUGGUGAAAUACCACUCUGAUCGGAUUGGAUGUCUUAACCUUGGCCCAUGAUCUGGGUUGGGGACAGUGCCUGGUGGGUAGUUUAACUGGGGCGGUUGCCUCCUAAAAUGUAACGGAGGCGCCCAAAGGUUUCCUCAGCUUGGUUGGUAAUCAGGUGGUGAGUGUAAGUGCACAAGGGAGCUUGACUGUGACACUGACAGGUGGAGCAGGGACGAAAGUCGGGACUAGUGAUCCGGCACCUACUUGUGGUUGUGGUGUCGCUCAACGGAUAAAAGGUACCCCGGGGAUAACAGGCUGAUCUUCCCCAAGAGUCCAUAUCGACGGGAUGGUUUGGCACCUCGAUGUCGGCUCGUCGCAUCCUGGGGCUGGAGUAGGUCCCAAGGGUUGGGCUGUUCGCCCAUUAAAGCGGCACGCGAGCUGGGUUUAGAACGUCGUGAGACAGUUCGGUCUCUAUCCGCCGCGCGCGUUGAAACUUGAAGGAAGGCUGUCCCUAGUACGAGAGGACCGGGACGGACGUACCUCUGGUGUGCCAGUUGUUCCGCCAGGAGCAGGGCUGGUUGGCUACGUACGGGAGGGAUAACCGCUGAAAGCAUCUAAGCGGGAAGCCUGUUUCGAGAUGAGGUUUCUUUUGAGGUUCCCUAGAGAUUAUGGGGUUGAUAGGCCAGAUCUGGAAGCACUGUGAGGUGUGGAGGUGACUGGUACUAAUUUACCGAUAACAACAAACCAC
rnacentral:rRNA from 1 species